rnacentral:rRNA from 1 species
CUACGGGUGGCUGCAGUGAGGAAUAUUGCACAAUGGGGGGAACCCUGAUGCAGCAACGCCGCGUGGAGGAUGACGCAUUUCGGUGUGUAAACUCCUUUUAUAUGUCAAGAAGAUGACGGUAGCAUAUGAAUAAGCACCGGCUAGCUCCGUGCCAGCAGCCGCGGUAAUACGGAGGGUGCAAGCGUUACUCGGAAUCACUGGGCGUAAAGGACGCGUAGGCGGGUUGGGAAGUCAGGUGUGAAAUCCUACAGCUUAACUGUAGAACUGCACUUGAAACUUCUAAUCUAGAGUAUGGGAGGGGGAGAUGGAAUUAGUGGUGUAGGGGUAAAAUCCGUAGAUAUCACUAGGAAUACCUAAAGCGAAGGCGAUCUCCUGGAACAUUACUGACGCUAAGGCGUGAAAGCGUGGGGAGCAAACAGGAUUAGAUACCCGUGUAGUC